rnacentral:tRNA from 1 species
AUGGGUAUAGGAAAGUCUGGAGUUUCCGCUCGCCUUGGGCGCGAGAGAUCGUAGGUUCAAAUCCUACUACCCGUACCA